rnacentral:lncRNA from 1 species
AUGACCACGAGGGGUUGUCAAUUGGAAAGAAAAACGGAAUUUUUGCAGGUGGUUAGCUGAGAGCGAAACAAUGUCAUUUCCAGCCAAAUCUAGCCUGGAUAGCAAAGUGGGAGUAUAAAAUGAAGCAACAAAAAGUUUAUGCAAAAGAAUUAUAAAUCAAAUUUCAAAACUCAGAUUAAAUUCAGAUGUAUUAAGUUUAGACUUAACAUCACAAAAAGAAAAGGAAGUUUAUAUUAAACACAAUACAACAUGACAAGCAUAUUAAAAUUAGACAUACCAACCAACUAUCAGCAUACUCAUACAUCCUAAAUGUAACAGCAUAAAUCUUUUUAAAAAUCCAAAAUAGAAACCUACGUUUUCUGGGUUUCAAUACUUCCAAGAUCAUUGUCCAGAACUGCAAUUUCUGCAUUGCUAACUUUAACAAUGCCAGUGACAUAUAUUGGCACAUGAAUUUGGCCUCCGGUAGCAUAGACUUUUUCUCCGUCAGCAUCAUGAAGCACCAUCUACAAGAUAGGCUCAAAGUAAUUUAAUUGUGAGGCAGAAUAGAAAUACACAUUGAUCCCAACUGAAAGGAAAACUAAACUGUAAACAAACAAACAGCAUUACCUCAAAAACAAACACAUAAAUACCCACAUCCACUUUAUCUGGUAAAACGUCCAAUACAUGAUGUCCGCUAUUCUGGUCAUAUUUGAGGUCCUGUAUCAUGCAAAUUUAGCAAAAUCCAAAGUUUCAGACGAUGCGAAGUCAAACGCAGAGAAAACAAAUCAUUGACUCAUCACUUACCUUGUUCUGAAUAACAGCCGAAUCUUUAGCAACAGUGCUGAAAGCCCGGACAAGCUUAACUGUUAAAGGAGGUGCAGCUGAACCAAGCACUGUAUUCACCCUAACCUGAUUAAGUUCAAAGUACAAUAGAAAGUUGUCAUUUUCUCCAACAGUAAAUGAGAAGUAGAAACACCAUACAAUCAUGAAGUUGAUAAAUAAUUUAACAUAACCAACUGAGUCAUAAGUUGAAAAUGUUGUACAGCAUGCAUAUAAACCAACAAGCAACAAAUAGGAGAAAACGGCAGAAGGGGGAGGUCCUCAAGCUCCAUAUCAGAAAAACAGGAAAUGACACAGGAAAGCAUAGCCUAAAUAAUUUAAGGAACUCAUCGGAGAUGAAACCACUGAAAAUUAGUAGUAGUAGCCUACGUAUGGAUUUGACACAUCAACAACAGAAUCGUGGCAGAAGAUGGCUUACAGGAUGUUCAUGGCCCAAAAUGCAUAUACACCAAAGGGUUACAGGCUAUUUUCUCCUUUAUACAACAACAAUAACAACAACAACAACAACAACAAAACCUUAUCAUCCCACUAGAUGGGGUCAACUAUAUGAAUCAAACGAUGCCAUUGUGCCCUAUCAUGUAUCAUGUCUAAGCAUUAGAAAAGAAACCCAAUGAAAGCCAGAAACAAAAGUUGUUCAUGCCAAUUUCAAAUAGCUACUGGAUACGAUACUUCCCGAAAAGGGACUUUUCAACUUUAUACCUUGAGUUGAUCUUUAUUUGAUAAUGAAUAAACACUUGCAGGAAGUGACAAUAUCAACGGAAUGGAAAUCCUGCACCACAAGAAGAAAGCUAAGAAAUAUACAUUUUUUAAAGAAUAUUGACGAGGUCAGUGUAUCAGCAAAGAACCAAAACAGAAGAAAAAAGGAGAGAUGUCUCUGUAAAGCUGCACUUUACAACAAUAUGUUGUUCUUGGAAAACAACUUGCCUGUUGCUCUCUAGAAGAGCUAAUGAUUCUAUUUGAUUGAAUAAGUCCUUCGCAUCUCCUGGGAUUCCAAUGCCCAGAAAAAAUUUUGCUAAGCCCAAUAUUUUAUCACCUGGAAGCUGGAAGUGCAAAGCCAAAACGUUAGUAGAAAAUUCUAACAGACUAAAAAUUAGAGAGUAGUCCUUUACAAUCCACAUACAUUUAUUUUUCCAGAAGUUACAGCAGCAAAUGCGAAAACCCCACGAACAACUGAAGAAGUUGUGGAAAUAGAACCUUGAUGCUCAUGUCCACCAACCAGUUUCUCAUCAAAAUAAAAAGUUCCAUCAUCUGAAGUGUUAAUGCAUUCAUCAAAAACUAUUGUGACGAAGAAUGUAAUAGAAAGUAGAGCCAUUUAACAUACAAAGUCUUUGGACAGAAGAAUUAUUAGGGAGGAUGGGCAUAACAUAACAGUGUGCAAGUGGCACAAGAGUUUUCAAGCCAAUUAUAUCAUUUGAGGUCAAAUGGUAUUCCACAGUUCUGCAGUGCACCAAGACAAACGUGAAACAAUUUUAUCCAUUCUCUACCCUAUGAGAGAUAUACAACUUGACUGCCACAACAAACGGGACUCGAGAAUCAAGUAUUCUGGAGAGGUAAAUAAUCUGUCUCUGUGUAACUCUUCAUAGAAGUAGGACAUUAAGUUGAUCAACAGUGAUCAUUAAUAACAAGUUCCCGUCACAUGCAACAGGUAAAAAGAAAAGGGUAACCUAAAUGAAACCAUUAAGAAAAUAUGUAAAGUAUCAAAUACAGGUUUACAGUCAAUAUUGUUAAGAAUUAAAAGCAUAAAAAUCUUACCGUGUAUAGGACAUAAAAAUUAAAGAAUGAGGAACGUAAUGAACGUCCGCGAUUCGGUUUCACUACCUUUUACCGCGAUAUGACUAUUUGGUCUUAGAUCAUGAAUACGACGUCCAUUACGGAAUACGAGAAUACAACCUUAUACAAAAUAAAAUAACAAAGAAAUAUACGUAUCAUCAAAGUCGAAACAUUGAUCUUAAAAUUAAGGUAUUUUGUAACGACAAAUGGAUAACAAUCAGUCACUAUUACAUUCGAUAAGCACAAUAUGUGUCCUAACCGAGAUCUUCGUGACCGACCUCACUAGUGUAAUCGCAGAAGACUCUAACUAGUCAGAUCCCAUUUCAAAAACUAGACUUUAACCAACGAACUGAACGAAGUGUUUGAAAUUUCGAACAAUUUAACUUUCAUAAAGGAUGUAACUCAUCUUUAAGUACAUCUACAUUAAUAAAGGCAAUAAUGUUACAAGACAUUCUAAAGAGGGAUCUUUAAAACAGUAAAAUUAAUGUUGGAUUACUAUUUCGUGGUCGUUCCUUGACAAUUUAUUUUUACUUAAGUUCACCAUCCCGUUUCACUUUUGAGGUUGACUUCAUGAGGUAAAACCUUUAACGUUACAUGAAAUUAGAUUAUGAUUUGAGCGGUCACAAUAUUACAAUACUCUUAAAUAGACAAAACGAAAACGAAAAUAAUACAUAGAACGUUUGUAUAUAACGGAGCCGUAGGAACUUGGACAUAGUUAUAGAAUAUAAUCGAGGUAUAACAGUCCAGUUAAAUCACUUUUUACUAUAUGACUUCGAAAAACUGUCGUAACUUUUUAUACCAUACAUAUUCAAACGAAAAUGGAAUUAGAACAAAUCUAAAACCUCCGUUAAUUACGAGAAAAUAUUAAAAUCUUAAGGGAUGGGACCUACAUCGUCGUUAACACGGGAAAUCAUCUCAAAUAAGAAAACAUUUACGAUCUAAAUAUAAUAGAAGGUAUAGUCACUAAAAGCAAAACCAAAGUAAUGUAAAACAAAGUAAAAACCAAGAGACGACGGGGGGGGGGGGAGGAGGGGGGUUAAGUCGCAUUUACAACUGAUGUAACGCUAAAUAAUNNNNNNNNNNNNNNNNNNNNNNNNNAAAUUAUUGGUAACUGAGAUAUUAGCAUUAAAGUAACAGAAGAAACAACUAACAUUUCUAGUUUCUAGCUAAUUUUAUUGUGUUUUCCUUUUCCACCUCCCAUAUUUUUUUCAAUUAUCAUCACCAUAUUAAUAUUGAAAGGGAUAAAGAUACAUGUGUACCACUCUCUACUCAAGAUAAACAUAAGACUUACCCCAACCAAAAAGCCAAUUAAGGGCAGAAGGGUCAAACUCAAGAAAAUAAGAGAGAGUUGUGUUGGUGGUCGUUUUUCAGGAGUCCUGAAUAAGUGGGUUAUCUCAGCUUUGGGCCCAUAUCUCGUGUAUGGAUCAACAGCUAGUGGAGGAAGACGGGGUGCCUUGCUAGUAGGUGCUUCUGGAAGAUCUAAUUCAAGAUGGCCAAGUGGCCGUAAGAAAGAGUUCUCCUGAAACAAUACACAUUUUUUUCUCAGAUUGCCAAUAUAAUUGGGAAAGGGGAAAUUAAGCUGAGCAAACACUUCAAGAUACCAUGACAGCAUCACCAACAGUCAGCUCAAUGUCAUAUCUGCCAGAGAGAUAGUAAAAUUUCUCCACCAAGCCAAGAAAAUCCUAAAAAGCCAAAAUUACAAACAUCAGUAGAACAUUAAACAUGAUGUACUGUUAAACCAGAAUGAAAUUACUCCUGCAGCCUUCACCAAAACAUAAGUGUAACAAUUAAAUAUCCCACAUCAAGAGCAGUCAGGACAUUCAAUUUAUAUUAUAAUUACACAUAGUUUGUACUUAAUAGAUAGAGUAAAGUAUUGUUUUUGUCCUCAAUGUUUGGAGUAAGUCUCAAAGUUGUCCCUAACGUUUCAAUCGUCCUAUUUAAGUUCCUAACGUUUCAAAAUUGGCUCAAUAUUGUCCUGCCAUUAGGGAUCCGUUAACAGAAUUGACGGCGGGACAAAAUUGAGACGAUUUUGAAACGUUAGGGACUUAAAUAGGAAGAAAACGUUGGGGACGAAAACCAUACAUAGAAAUAAAUUUUAGUUUUAUCCUUCAAUAAUAUCAUUUUUUUACUGUACAUAAUAUUCAAUUAUUUUUUAAUCACAUCUAAGUAAAUUAAACUUAAUCACAUUACUUUCAUUCUAAAUAAAUAUUUUUUUAUAAUUUUACACUUAAAGUUAUAAGUUAAUAUAAAAAUAUAAAAAAAUUUAUUUAGAAUGAAAGUAAUGUGAUUAAGUUUAAUUUACUUAGAUGUGAUUAAAAAAUAAUUGAAUAUUAUGUACAGUAAAAAAAUGAUAUUAUUGAAGGAUAAAACUAAAAUUUAUUUCUAUGUAUGGUUUUCGUCCCCAACGUUUUCUUCCUAUUUAAGUCCCUAACGUUUCAAAAUCGUCUCAAUUUCGUCCCGCCAUCAAUUCUAUUAACGGAUCCCUAACGGCAGGACAACAUUGAGUUAAUUUUGAAACAUUAGAGACUUAAAUAGGACGAUUGAAACGAUAGGGACAACUUUAGGACUUACCUCAAACGUUGGGGACAAAAACGAUACUUUACUCUAAUAGAUAAAUGAGCCAGCUCGACUGGAAGAAAUUGGAGGUGCAUUAUAUAAAAACCAGCACAUAACUUUUCUGCUCAAUGAUGCAAUUGGGUUUUUAUGAUUUUAAGUGAUAGGCACAACCGCACAAGAACAAAUAAUCAAAAUUCAGCAUCUGUUAAUAUCUAUCUAAUAUGAAUUAUAACAAAUUCAAUGAGUACUGAAGAAGAGACAUUUGAAGCUAGGUAAUGAAAUAUGUAAUAUGUAAUAAGAGAUACUUAACAAGAACAAUCUCGAAUUUCUUGCCAGCAUUUCCAACAACAAAGAUGUGCUCAUACUUUGUCUCAUGUUUCAACUUGAGAAAUGCCUGAAAAACAAUUAAUCCUCAAUGAACAAAGCAUUUAAGUAAAACUAAAUAGGGUCUAACUGUCUAAGUCAACAACUCAAACCUGAUGAGGCUUAAAUGCAUGACCACGAGGGGUUGUCAAUUGGAAAGAAAAACGGAAUUUUUGCAGGUGGUUAGCUGAGAGCGAAACAAUGUCAUUUCCAGCCAAAUCUAGCCUGGAUAGCAAAGUGGGAGUAUAAAAUGAAGCAACAAAAAGUUUAUGCAAAAGAAUUAUAAAUCAAAUUUCAAAACUCAGAUUAAAUUCAGAUGUAUUAAGUUUAGACUUAACAUCACAAAAAGAAAAGGAAGUUUAUAUUAAACACAAUACAACAUG